AGAGUGCUGAUCAAAAGACCAGUCUUCGCCUGAAUGGCUGCAGACCCAGACCUGCCCGCUUUCUUGGUAAAGCGCCUUCGAUAAUUAUAAGCUAGAUAGGACUUGAAGGUGUCGGGGAAAUGCAGGCAGAGGCGGUCACCUUGCUGAGCUGGGCACGGCAGCCCCGGUCACCGGUCACCCUCCACGUUCGGAGAGCUCACUCCGCUCUGAAGUGCUAAGGCGACCUUCCUCCACACCCCCCGGGGACAAGAGGUACACCUUUGAACUUCACACACCAGGGAAAGGAGACUUUUUACCACCAGCAGGCUCAGGAAGCACCCAAAGCCAGAGGACAAAGACAUCUCUGUCCUUGGUGACCAAGGCUGACCUCUGUGUCCGGGCUGGCCUUGUUGAAAGGUUCAGGACGUGCACCUGGAGAAGAGCUGGCAUCACAGGCAGGGACGUGAAGGACUUCUCUGGGGACCGGCUUCUUAGCGGCUCAGAGAGUCUUUCUCCGGUGCUGACGACCUGAGUUCAUCCCACACUCCAGGAAACCAAGCGUCUGUGGUUCGGAGAUCUAGAAUCGCGGCGCUCCUGAGUGCCGAGCACAUGACAUAAUGGAGGGAAGAAACGCUCCACAGCUUUGCCAGCCAGGGAGGAAGUUCAAGUUUCAGCAGGCUCAGCGGAGUUAAAGUAAUCUCUGCCCCCGGCGUGGGGCUCGAACUCACAACCCCAAGAUCAAGAGCGGCACGCGAGCGGACCCAGCAACACACUUCCGCCAAAGCCCUCCACGGCGGGGCCGACCACACGACGCCCGCUGACGAGUCCUGGAAACCAGCAGAAUGACCUUCCUCUAGGAGCUCGGCUGCCUCGAUGGUGACACUCUGCGGGGGGCAAAAGGGAAUCUCGGCUUAACGUGAUCCCAACCUCGGGGACCCUUAAGGAAAACGCGUGCAGUGACACCUGUUGAGGACGGUGAGGUCGACUCUAUUCAGGACCUUCGAGAUGGAGAUGGGACGGCGGGGACGUGCCGCCGGGGAGAGAGAUGGGGUUCGACUCUUGCUAACGCUGCAUUUGACGAGGAAGUGCAUGGAUGGGCCGACGAGAAGGUCCAGGCGCCUGACUGAAGUUUGGUCCAAGAGCCCUGGAUAACAGACCUCUCCACCCAGGAGACAGUAAGACAGCAUGAGCGGGAGAAGAGUGGAGAGAGAAGGAGACACAGAAUCUG